CUCAUCAAUGACAGACUCCUGUCAUCUAGAAUGAUAAUUUAAUUCAUCAUUGGAUUGCGGCUUUGCUGUAUUAAUAACGUGUCCAUUCUCCAUUGGCUGGUAGGGUCUUUUUGCUCAUGGUAAGUGUCAGUGGACACAGCUUCUUUUGCCUCUAAUGGCAGCCUGGAUCUCAGCCUUUUCACCCUAAAACUAAAACUUAUUUUCAAUAAUUAUUAUUAUUAUUCACUUACCAAAAUAGAAAAGUACACUAAAACAAAUAACAAAAACAAGAACCACCGCUCCCAAAGCGCGAGUGGAACUCAUUGCGAGCACGUUUCCAUUUUCCCUUCAGAGCGCGCAGUUACAUCAUACCUCCCACCGACCCUCAGGACGAUGCGGCUCAUCUGCAGCUCAUAUAAGUCAAUAAAAUCAAGCCGUCAAUCCACAUCAAGAUCGAUUUGAGGGACCAAUCAAAAGCAAUCAGGGCCACGAAAACUCUAUUUUGCGGGGACCCACAAUAUUCUCACGUGCAACGUAGUGGUGGAUCCCACUUCCUGAAAAUAUACACUAGGGCAGGGACCGAGAGAGACACAUUAAUACACAGAACACAACUAGAAAACUCUCUCCCACAGCUGCAACUGAAAUCUAUUGACGGUCGGGAAUUAAACGCAGGAUUUUGGAAUCCCUCAAGCUCCAAAACUCCUUCUGAUCUAUACCUUUUUCUGUGAUCUUUAGCUCCUACCGCCUCUUUCUCUAUUUAUCUGUCUUAAUUUUCUUCUCUCUCAGUCCAGAGAGAGAAUCUGAUUGCCUUAAGGAGGUACUAAAAUAAUAUAUAUAAAUAUAUUUUGGCACGGAUGGCGGGCCAGGCAGAAGAAUCUACCCCAACUGCUCAAGUGGUGGGGAAUGCCUUUGUGGAGCAGUACUAUAAUAUACUGUCCAAGUCUCCAGAGGUUGUUCAUAAAUUUUACCAAAAUUCUAGUGUGAUUAGCCGGCCAGAUUUUGACGGACUCAUGUUGUCUGCAUCAACUUUAGAGGGCAUUGACAAGAUGAUCCUUUCCCUUGACUAUAAGAAUUGUGAGGUUGAGAUAUUGACGACUGAUGCUCAAGAGUCUUUUGGAGAUGGCGUGAUUGUUUUGGUGACUGGUUUCUUUACUGGGAAGGACAACAUCAGACGAAAAUUUACACAAUUAUUCUUUUUGGCCCCACAAGACAGUCGUGCCUAUUUUGUUUUAAAUGAUGUUUUUAGGUAUGUGGAUGAUGAGGCAGUAGUGCCCAUUAAAAUCAAUGAUGCUGAUGAAGCUGCUCCAGCUGCUCCCAUCACACCAGAUCCUGAGCCAACUAUGGUUUCCAAUCACUCUGUGGUGGAUCAUACUCCUCCGUUGGAGGAAGAUACUGUUCAAGAUGAGGAAACUAGUCAUCCAUCAGACGAUGGAAAGAUUUCUAAUGUUGAUGAAGUUGUUUCUAGUCCAUCAGUUGGUACAAGUCAGAAUGAUGUGCCCCCAGUUUCAUCUGAUACGGUCCAUAGUGAUGCUCGUUCAGUUUCUGAAGCAAUUGUUUCUGAGGCAAUUGUUUCUGAUGCACAGGAGAAUCUUCCUAAGAAGUCAUAUGCAUCAGUAGCAAAUGAAUUGAAUUAUAAAAAGCAACCAUUUCAACAGAGGAUUUUACCUGCCAAACCUGUUGAACAAUCACCUGCAAUUGUUGUGCCUGAAGCAUCCCCACGCCCGGCUAAUAACAAACCUGUGGAAAAAAACAACAUUAAUUCAGUUAAGGGUUACUCCAUUUUUGUUGCCAAUUUGCCAAUGAGUGCAACUGUCGAACAGCUUAUAGAGACUUUUGAGAAAUUUGGGCCUAUUAAACCUAAUGGUGUUCAAGUCAGAAGUUAUAAGCAAGAAAAGAAUUGUUUUGGCUUUGUGGAGUUCGAAUCUGCAAAUUCCAUGCAAAGUGCCCUUGAGGUUUCUUCUAUCAAGAUUGGUGACCGACUAGCUCAUAUUGAGGAAAAAAAAGGCAAGUCAAACAUCAUUCUCCUUUUUCUUUUUCUUAUUUCGAUUUUUUCUAUUGCAAGGUGCACUUUUCAAUUUAUAUUUUUUUAGACUCAAUCAUGUUACAUAAUGGCUUAUACACUUAAAAAGCUGAAGUUUUUUAGGGAUAAUAUAAGCCUAACCUUAUUUGGUUGCCUUUGUAGCCAAUAAUGAAGGUGGGAAAUUCCCACCUAGAAAGGGUGGUUUUCGAAGUGAGAGUUUUAGGAGUCGAGGAAACUUUAGUGGCGGUCGUGGCUAUGUGAGGAAUGAGUUUGACAAUCAGGGCGGAUCAUCUGGUGGUCAGUUCCGUGGUACUGCUAGACGCAAUGGGGAAGCUAACCAGAAAGUUUAUCAGAAUGGAGGAGGAAGAGUUGCCCGAGAAAUUCAAGGUCAAACUCAAACCCAAUCUCUUUCCCCACGUGGAAAGAACUAGUUUGUUGCUCUCUACUGAAUUUUGUUUUACUAGAUUUUUUUGGUCAAAUAUUCAGAUAGGCAAAUAUUUAGGCAAUGAGAUUGCGGCCUUGGCACAACUGAUAAGAGUAACUUUAAGCAUUUUGCACCAUCUAUUUAAGGCAGAACAUUUUUAUUAGAAAGAUCAUGG
rnacentral:misc_RNA from 1 species